rnacentral:rRNA from 1 species
GUGGGGAAUAUUGCACAAUGGGCGAAAGCCUGAUGCAGCAACGCCGCGUGAGGGACGACGGCCUUCGGGUUGUAAACUGCUUUUGUACGGAACGAAACGGUCCUGGUUAAUACCUGGGGCUAAUGACGGUACCGUAAGAAUAAGCACCGGCUAACUACGUGCCAGCAGCCGCGGUAAUACGUAGGGUGCAAGCGUUAAUCGGAAUUACUGGGCGUAAAGCGUGCGCAGGCGGUUUUGUAAGACAGGCGUGAAAUCCCCGGGCUCAACCUGGGAAUUGCGCUUGUGACUGCAAGGCUGGAGUGCGGCAGAGGGGGAUGGAAUUCCGCGUGUAGCAGUGAAAUGCGUAGAUAUGCGGAGGAACACCGAUGGCGAAGGCAAUCCCCUGGGCCUGCACUGACGCUCAUGCACGAAAGCGUGGGGAGCAAACAGGAUUAGAUACCCCGGUAGUCC